UUGAUUUAAUGAUUCCAAUCUUCCUGUUCAGCGGAAGCGAUCGGCUGUGCCGGGGUGGCCGUGUUCCUGUUUAUGUAAUACGCUGCCUAGCCUGCUGGUGGACCUAGAAGUACAGCACAGUUCCUUAGUUUUGAGCGCUACCUGGAAUGUAGCAGCAUCGCUUGGUUCAUAAACGGAAGCUCGAUAGUGCAUUUUGCGACGCAAACCACAUGAUCCUACAUUCGGUGCAAAGUUCAGCCAGUGAAGAAAACGGCGUUUUCAUCACAUAUUUGGAGAGAUUCGUUGCAUUUAGCAAAGUACAAUGAGUGAAACCAGAAAUUUGUUGACCACCUUUUCCAUACUAAUCUUCCUGCUGUUACUGCUCUACCUGAUCUACGAAGGGUUCUACCAGCCCGACAUGUAACCGCCCAGCACAACCACCACCACCACCCACAGCACCCGCGCCCGCACCUUUCGCUUCUUCCACAUCCGAUGCCCUUCACUGUGUUUUAGUUGUUUAGUUUUUCCGUUUGUUUCUGCAACUCCACCUCAUCGUACAUCCAGAAAUCGUCCUCCAAAAGCCUGGGAUCUGCGCUGCAACAGUUUUGUCCAACCUAGAUUCGUUCGUUUAGUAAUUGCACUUCCGUGGCCUUGUUGCACCAUCGCUCGCACUACACGAUGGAGGCGCCCUGUACCUCGAUGGAGGCGCCUGGUCAAAUCGUCUGUUUGGCGAUUUCAACGGUGUGCGCUAGGUUGGGGCACAUACCAACUACCGAAUCCCGGAAAACAGAUCCCGAACCGCUGCUUCGUUACAUUCGACCGAUAUUCCAGACCGAUUCAAUUCAAAUACACAGACCAUCACGCACACAUACCAGUGCUGCACGUCACGUAAACCCUGUCCAGCCAAGCCA